rnacentral:rRNA from 1 species
GUGGGGAAUAUUGGACAAUGGGCGAAAGCCUGAUCCAGCCAUGCCGCGUGAGUGAUGAAGGCCUUAGGGUUGUAAAGCUCUUUCGCCGAGGACGAUAAUGACGGUACUCGGAUAAGAAGCCCCGGCUAACUUCGUGCCAGCAGCCGCGGUAAUACGAAGGGGGCUAGCGUUGUUCGGAAUUACUGGGCGUAAAGCGUAUGUAGGCGGGUCGUUAAGUUAGGGGUGAAAUCCCAAGGCUCAACCUUGGAACUGCCCUUGAUACUGGCGAUCUUGAGUCCGGGAGAGGUGAGUGGAACUGCGAGUGUAGAGGUGAAAUUCGUAGAUAUUCGCAAGAACACCAGUGGCGAAGGCGGCUCACUGGCCCGGUACUGACGCUGAGAUACGAAAGCGUGGGGAGCAAACAGGAUUAGAUACCCGGGUAGUCC